rnacentral:rRNA from 1 species
AGAGUUUGAUCAUGGCUCAGGAUAAACGCUGGCGGCGUGCCUAACACAUGCAAGUCGAACGAUCUCUCGGUUUUCGGACCGGGAGGCAGUGGCGGACGGGUGAGUAACACGUGGGUACCUACCCUUCAGGUGAGGAAUACCGCCGAGAAAUCGGCGACAAGACCGCAUACGCUCGGUCCUCGAGAGAGGGCUGAGCAAAGCUUCUGCUCGUGAGAGCAGGGGUGCCUGAGGAUGGGCCUGCGGCUGAUUAGCUAGUUGGUGGGGUAAGAGCCUACCAAGGCGACGAUCAGUAGCUGGUCUGAGAGGAUGAUCAGCCACACUGGGAUUGAGAACGGCCCAGACUCCUACGGGGGGCAGCAGUGAGGAAUUUUCCGCAAUGGACGCAAGUCUGACGGAGCAACGCCGCGUGCAGGAUGAAGGUUUUCGGAUCGUAAACUGCUUUUCUCGGGGAAGAGAACGGACGGUACCCGAGGAAGAAGCCCCGGCUAACUACGUGCCAGCAGCCGCGGUAAUACGUAGGGGGCGAGCGUUGUCCGGAGUUACUGGGCGUAAAGCGCACGCAGGCGGUUGGCCACGUUCCCGCUGACAAUGGUCGGCUUACCCGAUCGGGGUGUGGGAAAACGAGCUGACUUGAGGGCCCAGAGAGGGAGACGGAAUUCCGGGUGGAGUGGUGAAAUGCGUAGAUAUCCGGAGGAACACCAAUGGCGAAGGCAGUCUCCUGGCUGGUUCCUGACGCUCAGGUGCGAAAGCGAGGGGAGCGAACGGGAUUAGAUACCCCGGUAGUCCUCGCCGUAAACGAUGACCACUAGACGUGGGAGGUAUCGACCCCUUCUGUGUCGCAGCUAACGCGAGAAGUGGUCCGCCUGGGGAGUACGGUCGCAAGAUUAAAACUCAAAGGAAUUGACGGGGACCCGCACAAGCAGCGGAGCGUGUAGUUUAAUUCGAUGCAACGCGAAGAACCUUACCAGGGUUUGACAUGGACGUGCUCAUCCGAGAGAUCGGACUUCCUUCGGGACACGUGCACAGGUGCUGCAUGGCUGUCGUCAGCUCGUGCCGUGAGGUGUUGGGUUAAGUCCCGCAACGAGCGCAACCCCUACUGGUAGUUGAAGUUUUCUACCGGGACUGCCGCGAUCAACGUGGAGGAAGGUGGGGAUGACGUCAAGUCAGCACGGCCCUUACACCCUGGGCGACACACACGCUACAAUGGCCGGGACAACGGGAGGCCAACCCGCGAGGGGGAGCCAAUCCCAGCAAACUCGGUCUCAGUUCGGAUUGCAGGCUGCAACCCGCCUGCAUGAAGGUGGAGUUGCUAGUAACCGUGGGUCAGCACACCACGGUGAAUACGUUCCCGGGUCUUGUACACACCGCCCGUCACACCACGAAAGUCGGCAACACUUGAAGCCGCCCGGCUAACCCUUCUCGCAAGGGAGGCAGGCGUCGAGGGUGGGGUCGGUGAUUGGGGUGAAGUCGUAACAAGGUA